rnacentral:rRNA from 1 species
AACGAACGCUGGCGGCAUGCCUAACACAUGCAAGUCGAACGGGAUCCUAGCUUGCUAGGUGAGAGUGGCGGACGGGUGAGUAACACGUGGGAAUCUGCCUUUUGGUUCGGGAUAACCGCGGGAAACUGCGGCUAAUACCGAAUGCCCUCGAGAGAGGAAAGAUUUAUCGCCAGAAGAGGAGCCCGCGUCCGAUUAGGUAGUUGGUGGGGUAAAGCCUACAAGCCGACGAUCGGUAGCUGGUCUGAGAGGAUGAUCAGCCACACUGGGACUGAGAUACGGCCCAGACUCCUACGGAGGCAGCAGUGGGGAAUAUUGGACAAUGGGGCAACCCUGAUCCAGCAAUG